ACAUGCAGUCGAGCGGACAGAUGGGAGCUUGCUCCCUGAUGUCAGCGGCGGACGGGUGAGUAACACGUGGGUAACCUGCCUGUAAGACUGGGAUAACUCCGGGAAACCGGGGCUAAUACCGGAUGCUUGAUUGAACCGCAGGUUCAAUUAUAAAAGGUGGCUUUUAGCUACCACUUACAGAUGGACCCGCGGCGCAUUAGCUAGUUGGUGAGGUAACGGCUCACCAAGGCAACGAUGCGUAGCCAACCUGAGAGGGUGAUCGGCCACACUGGGACUGAGACACGGCCCAGACUCCUACGGGAGGCAGCAGUAGGGAAUCUUCCGCAAUGGACGAAAGUCUGACGGAGCAACGCCGCGGGAGUGAUGAAGGUUUUCGGAUCGUAAAACUCUGUUGUUAGGGAAGAACAAGUACCGUUCGAAUAGGGCGGUACCUUGACGGUACCUAACCAGAAAGCCACGGCUAACUACGUGCCAGCAGCCGCGGUAAUACGUAGGUGGCAAGCGUUGUCCGGAAUUAUUGGGCGUAAAGCGCGCGCAGGCGGUUUCUUAAGUCUGAUGUGAAAGCCCCCGGCUCAACCGGGGAGGGUCAUUGGAAACUGGGGAACUUGAGUGCAGAAGAGGAGAGUGGAAUUCCACGUGUAGCGGUGAAAUGCGUAGAGAUGUGGAGGAACACCAGUGGCGAAGGCGACUCUCUGGUCUGUAACUGACGCUGAGGCGCGAAAGCGUGGGGAGCGAACAGGAUUAGAUACCCUGGUAGUCCACGCCGUAAACGAUGAGUGCUAAGUGUUAGAGGGUUUCCGCCCUUUAGUGCUGCAGC
rnacentral:rRNA from 2 species